UACGGAGGAUCCAAGCGUUAUCCGGAUUUAUUGGGUUUAAAGGGUGCGUAGGUGGCUUAUUAAGUCUGGGGUGAAAGACGGUAGCUUAACUAUCGCAGUGCCUUUGAUACUGAUGAGCUUGAAUGAACUAGAGGUAGGCGGAAUGUGACAAGUAGCGGUGAAAUGCAUAGAUAUGUCACAGAACACCAAUUGCGAAGGCAGCUUACUAUGGUUAGAUUGACACUGAGGCACGAAAGCGUGGGGAUCAAACAGG
rnacentral:rRNA from 1 species